CCUAUGAAUGAUAACGUUCAAAUACGUCAGAUGUUCUCAAUGUGCGGCUGUAGUGAUGCGUGGAUAAAGUUGAGAUCGGAACACGUCUGUAGCAUUAUUCCAUUUCCAUCCAUGGAUUCGCAUUUUGGGUUCAUGCUCCAAGCUCGGAUCUUCUACUUACGAUGACGUUGCCCAACCGUGUACUCACUAGACACUGCAUCUGCACAUCGGGAACAUCUCAUGUCUGUAGUGUAUUGCGGCGAGUGGGUAGGAUAAUGGGUAGCGUUGUGGGUAGCAGACGCAGACUCAAUGGUCCCGCCUCAAUUUUGUAUGGACCUCGCGUUUCUGCAUUCCCGCCCUAAUUUGUACCCACUUUCGCCUUGGCCGCGCCCGCGCCCGCGCGGAUCCAUACUUUCAAAAAUCAAGAUCUGACCCAAGAGCCAGGAUCGAGAGAGACGAAGAUUUUUAGGCGCACUGUUUUCUGGAGCGGAAAGCAAUAUCGACCAUCGAGAGCUAGAAAAUUCUCUUCUACUGUUCUCCACUCGAGAGGGAGAUGUUGGGGAGAGUCAGACCUUCCUCACUGGAUUGUCUGGAGAGGCCUCCUCCAAAGAUCAUCAAGGACGACGCUCUCUCCAUCUACGGUGGGUGCCUUAGCAAGCCUUUGCCUAGGUGAAAGGUAUUUUCUAGGGUGUGUCAUUAUAUCAUGGUUUUCUUGGAUACAUGUUCAGUGCCUUCUUCGGAAAGGGAAAACAAGGAAGCAACACUUACGAAGCUUAGACUUGGUUCUCAACGAGCUCUUCUUUCAUCCUCAACAAAUUCAAUGGAUAUAGAUGUCUCUUCACAAAGAACUGAUUCAAGGUAUAGUAAUGGCCCAUCUGUUGAUUGUUCAAAACAGCAAAAGGAACAAGACUUCAAUUCUCUGUCAGUUUCCUAAUGUAAGGUUGUGUAUGAUGUAUACAUGAUUGCUAACUUCUAUGGAUGACAUUUUCUUAGUUUAAGAGAUGAAUUUUUCCAUUGAAUCAA